AUGUUUGUGACCAGAGCUAACUUUGGGGACCAGGGAGGACAGUCACGGCCGACCUGCAGUUCUGAACAGGAACCCCAACCAGACCUGGUUCACAUCCUCCUUUUCCUUCAGACUCUCCUCUCAACACAGCAAGAACUACGACCUGGAAAAACUAGAGUCCACAGCUCAGAGGGAACACUGUCUACACAGGUGAAAAGAGAAGUCUCACCAUCAUAUUAUUUUGUACCAGCCAAUUGCCCUUCAGAGGAAGAGGAAGUGACAUCGCUUCCUUUUAAAGAGGAAGAGGAUUCCAAGACAGCCAUGUUGUCCUCCACGCUGGUGUCGGUUCUCGCCCCACAGUGGAGUGGGAGAAUACGCAGGAACAAGCGGGGCGUGGCCGGUACGGACAUUGGUGUGUUUGGCACGGCAACCAGUGAGUCUGGACAGGAAACCCAAGGUAACGGACAGGAAGUGAGCGAGGGGGGUGUGCUUUUGAAGCCGCAAGUCCCUCUCGAGACAGACUCUGUAGGACAACGACGACAACAACAGUUUCUGGAGACCCAGAACCAACGUGUUGGGGAGAGGGGGUUGACCCUUGGAUCACAAGUCCAUGAGAGGGCUUCAACACUGGGUAGCAGCAGAAGCACAGUGGGGGGCUGGUAUGAGGGAAGCACCCCCAGCCUCAAACUGCACAACCCAACAAAGGCCCCAGUUUCUAAGCCUGUCUCUCUGGAUGUGAGUUGGGGGAGGCUGGCCAACAGAGGCGGAGAGGGGGGAGCUGUUUCCCCUGUUACUCCCAGCUCUCCCCUCUCUCCCGACCUGCAUGUACACAAGGGAAUGUUACAGGCAAGUCGUCAAGGAGCCCAGACAUCAUUGCUGAGUUCCAAACCAACAACCAGUAGCCUUCUUUUCUCUCUGAGAAGGCUCAACACUAUUGCGAGCUCUGUCCACUCAGAGACAAAUAUCUCAUCUCUAACCAAUGACAGAGAUGGAGAGACUUCAAGUCCACACCUCUCUCCAACCACAACCAAUUACAAAGCAUCAGAGACAAUUAGGGCACACCUUUCCCUAACCUCAUCCAAUGAUGGAGCCAGAGAGAGGUCCAAGUUCCUCCCCUAUUCAGCUGAUCCCACUUACAGGACAAUAGAGAGGUCAAGGCACCUCCCCUUACCAACUUCCAAUCACAGAGAAGCAAAUACACACAGAACACAACUAUUUUCAACAUCGCCCAAUUACAAAGACACAGAGGGCACACCCUUUACCAAACUUCCCCAGACUUCCAGGGCGUAUCCCAACCCAACCUUCCCCAGUAAGCAGACUCUUCUGUUUAGUGGUCUAGAGAGACUUUCCCCCUCAGAGAGACCAGAUGGAACCACGGUUCCCAUCAGUGAUACUCAUCUACCUUCCUCUCCACCGUCUCAAUAUGACCACCUGGAUUUUCAUGGGAGCCAGUCUCUUCCCAGAGGAACCACCCUGAGAUCUACUAGCUGGAGAAAGCACAUUACUCUGGAGGACAGUGUGUCUAAUCCCAGUUCCCCCCUCAGUCCCACUACCACCACCACUAUCAACAACAACAACAACACAUUCAGCCUCUCAAGCACUUCCAGCAAUAAUAACACGGGCCCCUCUAGCACCAAUGAUAACACUGGUGUCAAUCCCCAAAUCAGCAUCAAUAACAACAAUCAUUUAGUCACCCCCAACAAUACCAACCUAAACAGCAAUACCCUCAUUGGCAAACACACACCUCAGAGCACCCUUAAAAGGACUUAUGCUCAAGAUAUCCCAGACCAGGAUUCCUAUAGAAUACUCAAAACUCAGAAUUCCCUUAACUCGAAUGACCGACAAUCACAAAAGCCCUAUUGUUUGUCCAAUAUCUCCUUCAGGUCUAACACCAGUAGCCCAGCUAGCUCGAGCACUUUGAGUAGCCCAAUAAAGUCCAGCAAGCCUGAUCGCUACAGUAGGCCAUGUAGUUAUGACACCAUCUACACCCCUCUGACCGUAUUUAGCCCCAAGACUCCAACCAGCUCUGAAACCAGUGACACUCCAUCCUCCCUCAGUAGUCAUAGAACCCUUUAUUUGUCCCAUUCCCCGAACCCCUCUUCCAGACAGCUCUCCUUACAAACCAGUAUCGCCUCCACAUCCCUCAGUAGCCACAGACCCCUCUAUAGUUCCCGCUCACUCAAUACCACCAGCUCUAUGAGACAAGACCCCCAAAACAGCCCAAAAUCUCCACCCCCAGUCGUCAGAAGCCAGAUUCCCAUAGUGAGUAACACCCACACCCCCACAUCCCAACUGCAGUCCCCUAAAACUGCUUACACGCCUACCACAACUCCCCAACCACUCCUAAUUAAAACCGGCUACGUCCCCAGUAUCCCGACCCGCUACACCCGACCGUUGUCCCCAGACAGCUAUACCCCCAUAUCCCUGAGUAUCCCCACCACCCAGGCCCCCUCCACCCUGCCCCUCUCCCCACCCAGCUCGUCCCCUCUGGUGGAAAGGACGUUCAUAGGCAGCCUAGACCUCUCCCCUAAGAAACACCAGCCCCAAGUGGAAGGGAGGGUAACAGCACAUAGAGCGUGGCAGGAGUCACAACUAAGGCUGUCACAGUCUCAUUCACCUCAGAGACCUCUGUCCCCAACCAGACCCCUCCGUAGUGUAGGGGGUCCCGCCAUCUUCUCCUCCCUGAGAUCGGGCAGCCCAACCUGGGCUACGUCACCUUUGUCUCCCCCAACCCCCAGGACUACCAAACUACAAGUUUGGAGGGGAACCUCGAUGCAUAACUUAUCCAUAAUAUCUGAUACAUUGGUGAAGGAGGGAGGGCAAGCUCUCUCAGAGCAUGUUAGCGACCACACUUCGAACGUCACAGUCAAGAACACAGGAACCGACUCGACCGUAAUAGGACCACAGAGGAAGACCGCUGCCCCUCUCUCUCUUCCAGAUUUUGGGAGCUUUUCCAAGCCACGAUUUAGCUCCCCGCCCUAUUCCACACUCAAGUCUUCACGCCCAACACAGGGUGAGGUCACACACACAACAUCACACCAACCCCUUCUCUCACCCCCUACCUCACCCCAACACUACCCCUUCUACGGCCAUCACAGGGCUAGGUCACAGGACAGUUCAAAGAUUGUUGCCUUGGAAAUUGAUUGUGUCAACAACAACUCCAAACAGACCAGUCAAGAAAAUGUUGAGACACUUGUGUACAGGAUUUCUAAAGUUGAUUCCUCUGCCAUAUUGGACAGUAUUAGGCCUGCACAGCCCUGUUUUCCUCGACGCACACCAGACACACGAGUCGUCACAGGGAUAAAGUCCAAUGAACUCUGCCGUCUACCUUCACAACACAGCCAGGUGAUUGGAAGUCCCAGCUGUCAAUCAUACCAAAGCUCCAAUGACAGUGGAGCAUUAGACACUGAGAAGGUUGUGUGUAAAAGUGAGAGUUUCCCUAAGGGUGCAGCGGCUCCACUACAAACCCAGAGCCCAAAGAAAGGCUUAUUCUCACUGAGAGGUAAGAGAGACAAUGUUGUUGGUACGCCUGCUGCCAAUAUCCCUAGAAACCCAGCGAUGCCUCAGUCUGAGAAACCAAAGAAAGAGUCAGAGAAGGAGCAGAAGGAAAGUAACAAAAUAGACCUGGUGCUGAGUCGACUCCGGCAGACCUUCAGAGUCAAACGUCUCGAUGACGAGAGGACGAAGAGAACACCCCAGCCUCCUCCUGUCAAUGGAGCCAGUGACAUUAGUGAUGUCACUGAGAGUAGUGGUUCUAGCAAUCGAGAAGAGGAGGAAAAAUGGAGGGAGAAUGAUGGCGUUCACAAACCUUCAAACUCUUUCUGGGCUGGCAGUGAGCACACGUCAGAUAUGACGAAGGAAAAUGUUAGACGUGAACACUCACAGUUUGAGGGUUUUAAAGACCAUAAAGAGGCUAGAAACAGAGACCAGCCUUGUGUUAUGGAUCUUCCUCAAUUUGAGGCUUACAAGGACGAAAGGAUCACUAAACCCAAACACCAACCUUCUAGUAGCGAGAUCAGCCCAACAAGACGGCAGUUUGAAGCUUAUAAAGAGGAGAGGAUCAGUAGAGCCAGAAAGCAACCUCCUCAGAGAGACUUCAGCUCCGUUAUGCGUCAACCCUGGGACCCCAGCCGCUCUGCAACCCUCCCUGCCUACAGAACCUCCUCAGGCAGCACCAGAAACACUUUCUCUGUCUUCCACUUCAACCAGAAGGACUCUGAGAACGAUAACGUGUUCCACAUUCCCAGGAUUCCUCAGAGGAAGAAGACCACCUCUCUCUGUGAGCCAGGGGACAGGGAGUUCGGUUCCGGUGAUCAGCGUGGCAGUGAGGGACGUCUGACAUCCUUCUCCUCCUGUGCUGAUCUCAAAUACGGUCUUGAGGCUGGGCGUUCCUUCUCUGUGACUUCUGUGCUCUCCAGCCGACCUUCGGGUCCUGGACGAAUCUCCUCAGGCCCUAGGGUCAGCAGUGUCAGUGACCUCACUUACCCUGCUCUGACCUUUGGAGAAGAGGUCAUGACUUGGGAUGACUGUAGGGUCAAAGGUGAUUGGACAAUACCAAGGUGGGACACACACACAACCACUGGCCACAAAACCACAGGUGACAGCCAAGCUGUAAAUGACUGGUCUGUCUUUAGUGACAGGACAUCCAGAAAUGAGCGCAAAACAAUCAAAGCUAAUUUUAUAAAUCCACACAAGGCUAGAUCCAAAUCCCUACCCAGAAAUGUAUCCUGGAGUUCAGACGUCACUGCCCCAUCUCCAACCUCUACCACCACUGGCCGCAUGUGGAACCAUGGCAGCCUCGAGACCUCUCCCUCCCUGUGGGAUACAGAGGGUCCUCCAACCCCCCCUCCGUCCCCUCCCUGGUCCCCAGCCUCCAGACGCAUAUCUCGCCCUCCCAGCUCCUCCUCCUCUGCCUCGCCCUCCCCCACAGACAGCAGGGCAUCACAGGACAGCCUGUCCCCUAGGGGGCGCCUACCCUCCAGGGGCUACGUCUCCAACCUGGCAGUCUUCGAGGAGUCCGACUCAGGCUCUGACAUGGACUCUGACACAACCACAGAUGAUGAAUACUACCUGGCAGGUGAUGGCGGUGAGAAGGAAACUGAACUGUGAGAAUAAAUACUGUAUGGGAUGCAUCUCAAUAGUCUAAAGUGGGUCUGUCUGUCUCCUUUUGGUCUCCUUAUAUAGAAAGGAUACUUAUUUACACACCUAUUUAUGCACACUAAAAACAGACUUGUUAAGUGUGCAUGGCUCUGGGCCUUCCGAGUGGCGCAGUGGUCUAAGGCACUGCAUCGCGGUGCUAGCUGUGCCACUAGAGAACCUGGUUCGAGUCCAGGCUCUGUCGCACCUGUCCGCGACCGGGGGACCCAUGACGCGGUGCACAAUUGGCCCAGCGUGGUCCGGGUUAGGGCAGGGUUUGACAUGCAGGGAUGUUCCUGUCCCAUCGUGCACUAGCGACUCCUGUGGUGGUGCACGCUGUCACAGUCUCCAGGUGUACGGCGCUUCCGCCGACACAUUGGUGCUUCUGGGUUAAGCGGGCAUUGUGUCAAGAAGCAGUGUCGGCUUGGCUGGGUUGUGUUUCACGGGACGCUUGAGUUGCAGCGAUGGGACGAGACUGUAACUACCAAUUGAAUACCAUGAAAUUGGGGCGGAAAAGGAGUAAAAUAAUGAAAUCAAAUAAAAAGCCCAUGGCUGACAGUAAAGAAGUCAGCACUGUCAGAUCACAGGUUAAUGUCAUGCUCUUAUCCUGGGAUCCAAAGAGCACCACAUGAACUCUACACCAUAUCCAAGAGCAUGGCACUCUGUUUUUUUGUCAUGUCACAGGUUGCUUGGAUACUUGACUUUCUCAUGUCUGAUAUUUGUUUAGUUAUCAGUGGGAAGUGUACUGUAUAUACUAGGUUAAAGGUAUUUAUGAACAAAGAGCUCUAGCUAUAAAGCUAUCCUAUACUGUUUUAUUACUUCUGCAGCUGUUCUAACCAUGGCCUUUAUUCACAAAGUGUAUCAGAGUAGGAGUGCUGGUCUAGGAUCAGGUCCACCCUGUACAUAUGAUCAUAUUCAUUGUUCUCUGAAGCCAAAACUGAUCUUAGGUGAGCACUCCUAAACUAAGACUCCUUGUGAAUACUGACCCUGUUGUGGUGGAGUCCUGUACCCGGUGAGAGGUAUACCUACCAUACUCAGUUUGGCUGGGGUCACAUUUCAUUGUCAAGUGCUGCCUAUCAAUAUGCUUUAAGCUAGCAUGCUAUAUGAUAUGCAAGAUAAAUAUCUUUGAAUGUUUUAAUUCUCAUGGAAAUCAGUAUUUUCUAUUUUGGUUGUCUUGAUUGUUAUAAAAAUGUUGUGAAUUACUUUUUGUGCAAUUCAACAGUUGUUUUUGGAUCAAGUAUAUGGUAAAUAUAUUUUGAAUGAACAAUAAACCAGUUCUAAUUCUGUAUCUGCCCCUUUGUAUUUUAUAAAUAUAUAUAUAUAUUAUAUAUCAAACUGUUAUGCCCAACUAUCAUAUCUAACCAAAGACUGUGUGCUGUGACAUUAGUGUUUUGACUUUCCCCUUGGAUACCUGAAUAGUUAUGCCUGCCACCAACACCACAAGAGCAGGCCUACCAAACCACAUUCCAACUAUACUGAUGAACCUAGACUAACAAUACUGAACACAAAGCCUUAUUACAUACUUGCUGCUUUAAAUAGGGCACGUAACAAGUGUGUGGAUGGGACUAUUUAGCGGUCUUGUACUAAACCCAGUGUUUCCUCAGUAUUCCAAUUCCAAUGCUGUUAGAAUACUGCGAUACAGUCGUUUGUCUGUGUGGUUAGUAGGAUGGAGUACAGCUAGUCACAGUUAACUUUGGCCAUUUUCUAUGAUGUCACUUGGGAAGGGCCACACAGGCCUACACACCCAGAACAACGUGUACAAACUGUAAUGUUUUUGUCACGCUUUAGACCCCUUCGAC
rnacentral:lncRNA from 13 species